GAAAUUACGAGUGUGACCAGUCCCAGACAGCAUGUAGUAAUCGGCCCGAGCUCGGCUGGCCCUCGGCUCAGACUCGGCAUCAGUGAGUGUUAUCUGGGCCGAGUGUGGCUCUGGUAAUGACUCGGCUCAGUUCAGUCAUAGAUGGUUACAUUAAUAUAGCAAUAAAUAACAUAAAACUAUUUUAAACUUGGCUUAAGAUCUUUACAGUAUCUUAUAAUGUUAAUUAUACGUCUAAUGUCGUGAAUUUGUCAAAAACAAAUUAUCUGCGAUAAAAUAUAAAAAAAAGAAAAAAAAGGUUUAUAGGACAGAACGUUCUAAAGCAAAUCUAUAUUUAUGUAACGCAGCAGGUCAUUCUUUUAUACGUUUGCUUGUAUGUAUUUUGAACACGCUUCAUUUCGCGCUCACGUGUAUCACCUUCAUUCGCUCAGCGUGGGCGGAGUCUCGUACCUGUGCUUGUGAGUGCUCUCUGCCAUGUUUGGGCAGUUUGGAUGCAAACAAAACAAUGGAUUAUUUACCAAGAGAUAUGGAUGUAUGAACUCAUUUCGAUAAAACGCUUCUGGUCUACUCUAGAGUUUUUACUCUGCAGAAAACUGACAAGCAACCCAACCCUCCAAACAGAGAGGAAGAUGAGGAUGAAGAUCAUAGUGGUCCAGCAUAUACAAAGAGAAAGGUUUGCUUGUAUUUUAGCUUCCACAUUCUUAUUUUUGUAAAUGCAGUUGCAAUAAGAAAACGUAAUUUUUUCCCCAUAUUUCUUAAAGUAUGUAAGAGUGAAGAUUUGUUUAAGUGGGUCGUUGUUUUCAAAUAACCUCAACUAAAUGCAUUAGCUAGUUUCAUCUAUUUUUAUGAUGAGAAUGUACUGUAGUCAUAUAUGCAUCAGUUUGUUUGAGAUCAUCUGCAAUAUCUCUGUCCUGCUUUUACAGAUGCUAAAUAUAAGCAGACUAUACAGAUGUUCAUCUCUGCCAAAACUCACGUGACUACAACGCAAACACAGCAUCACAGUUCAUGCUUCUUCACUCAGGAUGUAAAGACACACAGGAGUAACUGAUUAUUUCUCUUAACAUGCUACACAUUUAUUUUAAUAUUUCUAUGUUUUGUAGUAACCAACAGAAGCUGAAGGAAUGGCAGACAUUACUCAGACACAUGUGAACACUGAGCAGUGCUUGGAGUCCAAGACAGUGAAAUCAUCUUUAUUAUACUUCUGACUGAACUAGCAAGGGGCAUUAGAGACAAUGAGAAAGUAAGUUCAAGUAAAAUGUCUGCAUUGACCAUAUCACUGUGUUUUUUUCUGCAGUAACUGCAGGGAAUAUUAACUGAAGAGACCUUAUCAACAGCAAGCUUUGGAUCUACUGAAUGUGUAUUUUUCAAGCAUUUUAUUGCAGGGUUCACUGUUAUUUUUCUGCAUAGCGAUGACUGAUGAAAAGUUAUUAUUUACUUACUUCAAUGUAUAGUUAACCAGAAUUCUUUUACAUUUCACCAAACCUCUGACUUUUGUUUUUCUGCAGAACUCAAAAGAAGAUACUUUGAAGAAUGCUGGUAAUCAAACCCCACAAGUUUGUCAGAUAUGGACAGUAUGAAGGGGAAUAAAUGAUUUUCAUAUUUUGGGUGAACUCUCUUUAAUUAGCAUGCUACACACUAAAUAUUAAUCAUGCUGGGCGAAGCCACUUAUUGUGCUGUCACUGCAGUUAGUGCUGUAAAUAGUCUGUCAAAUAACAGGUACAUUGCUACAACAUACAUUUAAUGUAGUUCACAAUGAUGCAUUACGUUAGACCUUUACUAAUAGAUACUUGUGUAUUAUUUGCUCUUUACAGGUGCAGAGAUAAAAGCUCCCAAACAAAGAUGUCACCGGAUUAAGAAGUGGAAAGACAUGUUACACCACAACAACCAUAAAUCCUGAGUAAUUUGAAUAUGGGCAACAACCGAGGAAAAGUACCCAUUGUUUUACUUAAAAAAUGAUCCAUGGUAAUAGUAAUAGUAAAUGAUUAGAUAAAUAAAUAAAAAGUACAAAAUGGUUUUAAUUUUAAAACUCUGCCAUUUACUAAUGUGUUAUUCAAAACACUAAGUUUUGGUGUAUCUUUACAAUAAGGCAUCAUUACUUAACAUUAGUAAAUGUUGAAAUUAACAUUAAAUAACAAUGAGCAAUACAUUUGUUACAGUAUGCAUUAAUCUUUGAUACUGUUAAAAAACAACAACUGUUCUUUGUUAGUUCAUGUUAGCUCUGAUCCAUUAAAUAAUGUCAACAGGCACAAGUUUUGUUCUUAAUGUAUUAGUAAAUGUUGAAAUUAACUAGGUUAAUAUAUUAACUACAGUUAACUAAGGUUAAUGUUAAGUAUUUGUCAUGUUAGUUCAUGUUGGGUAGGUAACUAAUGUUACAAAUGAAACCUUAUUGUAAAUUGUGAAGUAUCACCUGUGUUUAUUGUUUAUACGUGUUAAAUUAUUAUUAUAAAUAAAUGUAAGGGUAAUUUAGCAAUGUGCAGUUUUUUAUAUUUGUAUAAACUUUCUGUAUAACUUGUAUUUUUUUUUCUUCUUUUUUGCUGUAAUUGCAUAGUUUUGUAAAUAAAUUGUAC
rnacentral:lncRNA from 12 species